rnacentral:lncRNA from 1 species
ACAUGAGCAAACUCCCUGGGAGCAAGCUAUGUGUGAGAAUUUCCUCCCUCUCCCCUGGCCCCUGUGUCCCAAGGCUGGAGUGGGAGUGCUGAGAUUUUUUUCUGAGAAUCUCUGGCAGGGAAGAUACCCGUCCUGACUCCUGGGGUCCAGAGGGUGGUGGGAAUGGCAGGGGAUAGGUGACCCCGAGGAAGUAAAUCCUCUCUCUAGAAAGUUGGGACGCUGGGGGGCCAAUCGCAUCAUUGUGCAAAGAAGGCUGGCGCCCCAGAAGGGUAGGGCCUGCCCUGGUCACACACGGGGCCUGCGACCGGCAGGAGAGGGAGUCUGAGGACCUGCCUCUAGGGCUCUCCUUCCCCUGAAGUCCUAGCCUAGAGAAAUGCCUGUCCUUCGCCCUUUAUCAUUAUACUCUGGCCAUCAGAGGCUCUUAGACAGUCCUUAACAUUUUUCAUGCCUCAGUGCCUUUGCAUUGCAGUCCUCUCUGACAAAAGUGCUCUCUCCCUAAUCUUCCUAUGGCUGGCUCCUCCUCCUGCUUCUGGCCUCAGAAGUCACCUCUGGGAGAAGCCUUGUCUGGCCAUAGUGUUAGUCUCCAUCGCUGCCUCUGCUUGCUGCCUUCCAGGGCUGUGCCUAUUUCGUAUGUAUCUACUAAAGUAGUUGCUUUUCAUCUGGCUCUUCCCAGAGAGCACGACUCCCCUGGGGAGGGUGAGUCCCCAGGCCUCCUGCAGUGCGGGCGAGGGACCGCCAGAAGAUGUCUGUGGAGCCAGCAGCCGUGGGCAGAGGAGCGAGAUGUCUGUGGAGCUGAGGCCGGUGGAGGGCUCCUCCCAGUGGCCUUGUUGCUCAGAGCUUCCUUUCUGUGCCAAGAAGAUGGAUGCCAUUCACACGUGUGCCCCUGGGGUGUAAGACUGUGGCGACGAAGGCUUGUCACCCCCACCCUCUACCCUGCUCAGUGUUUCGUCUGA